AUGUGGCUGAGGUCUCUGCUCAUCAUCAUCAUCACCAUUUCACUAUUAAGAGGAAGCACAGGACAGUCGUUGAAGCAAACAUCUGGCAUUGUGACUGUUUCUGAAGGACAAGCUAUUUCUCUCAAUUGUUCCUAUGAAACACAGUAUGGUGGCAGAUACAUAUUCUGGUACAUUCAGCACCCUGAUCAGCCUCUGAAGCUCUUGUUGUCGGUGUAUGAAAAUUAUGGCCCAGGAUUCCAUGCUAUCCACCUCAAAGGAGAUAAAAAUGGGACUUACAAUUUAGAGAAAGGGGCCAGUCAGCUGAAGGACUCUGCUGCCUACUUCUGUGCCUUCAGAGACACAGUGAGAGGAAGCAGAAGGGGAGCCAAUCAAAAACAGGAGAAAAGGAUUAAGAGUCGAGACAGGACAAUUUUGCACUUGUGGCACCUGCACUUCUGA